AGUAACAUGUCACUGUAUGACCAAUCAUCAAGCAUUGAUGCCUUGCAUAGCCAUGAACUGGCAUUGAUGCCAUCCUCAUCAAAAUAGCAUGAAUAAAUCAACACAUUGAGAUUAAAGUAUAUAAAUUGACAAAAUAUGCCACCUUUAUAAACAAUAUCCAAGUGCCUUGUUGUAAUUGAUCCCAGAUAACCCAGCCUACAUGGAUAAUAUAUAUUUGUAAGUGAUCACAGAGCUUUGGCAGCCAAGAUAUAUUUUAGUGCCCUGCAAUCAGCUCCUUUCUCCCUCUCUGCAAAAAGAGUACAUGAGAAAUUUUGGAAUACAUGUUCGCUAAACAAAAUGCAUUAUAAAAUAAGACAAUCUACAGUAAUAAUAUGAGACUACACAUCUAUACAACCCUACAGUUUCAGAUUUCCUAGUUCGAAGCCAUUUUUUCACUUAUUAUGAAGUUGACCCAUACAUAUUGCACAUAUGUCAUUCUUUCUUCAAUCAAUCUCAUAAAAAAAUACAAAUACAAAGUAGAGAUUGACGAUCAACUUAUUACUCUAAUCUGCUGAGAAAAAUAAAAAAUGAGGCAUCACUCAGAAGAAAACUGAUGUGUUAUUUAUUUCGUAUAGACCACCAGUUUAUGUUUAGGUUGAAGAUUUCCAACUGAAGAAAGUAGACAAUGAAAUUGAUGAGCAAUUAAAUAGUACAACCAAACCUUCUCUUCAACACUACUCUAUUUCUAGUCGAUAGGUUUUGACAUGGAUGAACUUGAUUGGACGAUGGUAAGAGUAGUAGCAGGAAACUAUACACCAUAUCAAGAUCAAUCAUACAGUCCAAAAUGGUCAUCAUCAGAGUGCAAAAAAUCAGGAACCUUAAAACAAUGGAGCUCAAAUUUGAGAAGGAUCAGUAGUUGUCGCCUAGCCGCUACCGCUGAAAGAGGUGCAGGACCAGCCAACCCCGCAUAUGGGCGUGACGGUCAACGGCCUGACCGCUCAAACCCACCAUUACUUCAACAGAACCAUCUAAGUUCUCAAGCUCAUCGUCUCCAACAGUCGAAUGCCAACAUGUCUGACUGCCUAUUUGGGAUUGGAGUUACAGGGAGUGCCUAAUUUUUAUGUAUCUAUAUUAAUUUACUUUUCUUCAGGUUCUAUCUCUCAACUAAGUAAUCUAAUGCAGAAUGUUGAUUAAUCUAAUGCAGUCGAAUGCCAACAUGUCUGAAUGCUCAUAGGAUAUUCAUGUCUAAUCCAUCUUCCAUGUUUUCAUGUUAUAUUCAGAUGAAUCAGAUCUUUACAUAAUGCUACUUUUUGGGAUACUGCAUCCGACGAUUCUUUUGAAGAUGCACGGCACACGGAAUACCUUUUGCCUUGAUAUGCUGCUGAAGAACUGUUGAUGGUGCUCUAAUCAGCAACACCUCACUACCGCCCCGUGGAAACAAUGCCUCUACUCCUCUACCUAGAACAACUCUUCCUAAUUAAAAUUCUCUUACAGAAGUAUUAACUGGAGGGACGGGGAUCAAUAUAACCCAUCUUUAUCCAGACCCAAAAGAAUAUGAAUCUUGAUUUGGGACGAAGGCAGGGUUCUUGGAACCAGGAAAUCAAGAGGCAGACUAACUACAUGUGUUGAAUUAGCUGAUGAGACAAAGGGAGUAGUACCUGUUGGGCGGAAGCGUGACGGCCAUCUGGACGAUUGCUCUCCUGGGGAAGCCGGUUCCACCAGCGGCGCUGCCAAGUCAUGGUGGGAUAUGCCACUCAAGUUGAAGGUCGUGGUAGGGGGACACGCUCGUUGCCAUGGCGCUGGUCCGGGUCG
rnacentral:lncRNA from 1 species